rnacentral:rRNA from 1 species
UAAGGUCACGGCGAGACGAGCCGUUUAUCAUUACGAUAGGUGUCAAGUGGAAGUACAGUGAUGUAUGUAGCUGAGGCAUCCUAACAGACCGAGAGAUUUGAAC